UUUUUUCUAUAUGUGCAUUUAUAACGUUUGUUCACCCUAAUUUGGUUUGUAUAUGAGCAUCUACAAAAAAAAAAAAAAAAAAAAAAGGUACACACAUUGUUAAAAAUAUUACUGUUUUUUGUUUUUUCGAUCUUAUAUGUGUGUUAGAUAUUAACAAUUGUUUAUUGUGCAAGUGACUGUGAAUGUCUAUAAAUUGAAAAAUGUACAAUAAAAAAAAAAUAAUUAAAAAAAAAAAAAGUCUGGAUGUUUGACUUCCGGAAUAGUUUUUCCCCUCCAAUGAACUUUCGAGAAAAUGAUUGACAGAAGGAAUUAUCCUACGUUAUUAGCAGUUAAGUCCCGCCCCCAAAUACAACCAGGCGCAGCUGCCCGGCCCGCUUCUUCUGUUGGUCAUUGGAGGAAACGCGAGCGAAACUUCCAGACGUUUUUCAGGUUUUUACGGAACCAAAAAGUCCCGACGGAACUGAACAAACUUAUAAAAGAUAAAUGAACGUUUCUUCGAAAAAACAUCUUACCGCUGGUCAAUAGGACCCUUUAUAGACACUAUUUCCGGUGAAAAAAUCAUCUAGGACUUCUUGACUGGACCUAACAGUGUGACCGGCUUGCAGCCUCAACAUAAGUGUGACCUCUGACCUGUGACAGGUCAAAAAUGCAAUAGCCCUGAGGAUCAGUGCGAUGUAAUAUCCAGAGGAAGGUGUGCCGUGGAACUGAGCAGAUGUAGCACCGCUGCAUGAUGGGAGUACAGUGCAGAUGAUUCUGUGGAAUGAAGAUGGUGCGAUGCUGAAGAUGGGUGGGAGGAAAUCCAGACUAGUGUGGAGGUCUGCGGUCAAGGUGCAGGUCCCAAAGGACACGGAGGACUGUGAGCAUCUUCAGGUCGGAUGAAUAUCUUAAAAACACUGUAACACUGAGACAGCCUGGACCCACCUGGAAAGAACCAAAACCUUAUCGAGGCACAAAGUGUGACACGGAGGAAAAAGUCCUUUUUUCCAGACUCAUCCUGAAACAAACGUCUGUGCCGGGAGGCGUGGAGAGGUCAUGGUCAGUCUGAGAAAGAAAUUCUUCACGCGUUUAAAGAAAAGUCAAUUGAAGUGUUCAAAGCAGCGGUAGAGGCGGCGAAAGUCGGGCGACGCCUGAUUAGGAGGUUAAACCGAAGGACUGGCCUGGUGGCAAAUCAAUCUGCUAAUAAAAACGCAGCGACAGUUCUAUCGGCGCCACCUUUGAGUCUUUGACUCCUGAUGCAAAGAUUUUCACAAAGGAAAAUGCUGGAGCAGCUCUUCAAAAUGAAAAACCUGAACCUCCAGAGAUACAAGGAAGUCCAAUUUCACUCUGAGAAAUGAAUCAGAACUACAUCAGUGACUUCAAUCUUUGCAAAGCGUUGCCAUAGCAACAAGUCU